GCUGUGAAAAAUACAUAAAAGAAGUUAUUAGCUCUGAUUUUGCUUCCUUUACUGAUUUCCUUUCUUUUAUGGGUAACUUAGUCUCUUAGUAAAACGAAUACUGAGUUCUUAAGGAAUUACCUUAAUACAGCUCCGGGUUUGGCAUAGUGACAGUUACCAUUACCUGCAAUAUAAUUUAGAAACGAAAAUUGUUAAUAAAACAUUACAACAUACUAAUUCCUGAGAUUUUAUUUCACCUUUGAGCUAUGACUUUGUUAGGCUCCACUACUUAGUUUUUAUCUUAGAUGAUAGGAUAUGACCUUUUUGGGAAAUUCUGUCACUAAAGUUUCCUCAUCUCUGCUACUCUACCAGGAAACGAGGAUGAGAAAGAUGAAGUAGAGAAUCGGGCACAUUCAUAAAAAGGUUGAAUGGGAAGUAGUGGUGCUAUCUAGCUAGUAGCGGCUGGAUUCUUCUGGUAAUAGUCAUUGAAGGCAUAAGAGGCAUGGUCCUUCACUGUGUUUGGGUCAUAGCAGCUCCCACCUGGCUGAAUCGCAGAACAGUCUGCACCGCCAUAGCCACAAGCAUAGUCAAGAGCCACCUGCAGAGCAGUUGGGGAAGCUGCAGAGCUUGCAAUACACCAUGAACCUCCACCUGGAUUCCCCGACACUGCGGUGGGAUUCACACUGGGGUCUACUAUGUUUGGUACAGACUGUGGUGGUGCAACUGGAGUUCCUCCAGGAGUUGUUGGGUUAACAAUUGUAGUGUCAUCCAACUGAGUGAAACGUAUAGGUGAGACGAUUGUUCUGUCUUCUUCAUUCUGUAGAGGUAUGUUUUCUUGAUUUUCUUCUUGUAUAGAUGAUUUCUCUGCUAAACUUGAACCUGAAGAGAUCAAAACUGCAUCAAUUUCUCAGUUUAUGUAAAAUUUGAUACAAUCAUGGAAACGUGAAUAAGUUGCAUUCCUGAUU